rnacentral:rRNA from 1 species
GUGGUAUCCUGUCUGAAUAUGGGGGGACCAUCCUCCAAGGCUAAAUACUCCUGACUGACCGAUAGUGAACCAGUACCGUGAGGGAAAGGCGAAAAGAACCCCGGCGAGGGGAGUGAAAAAGAACCUGAAACCGUGUACGUACAAGCAGUGGGAGCACCUUCGGGUGUGACUGCGUACCUUUUGUAUAAUGGGUCAGCGACUUAUAUUCUGUAGCAAGGUUAACCGUAUAGGGGAGCCGCAGGGAAACCGAGUCUUAACUGGGCGUUAAGUUGCAGGGUAUAGACCCGAAACCCGGUGAUCUAGCCAUGGGCAGGUUGAAGGUUGGGUAACACUAACUGGAGGACCGAACCGACUAAUGUUGAAAAAUUAGCGGAUGACUUGUGGCUGGGGGUGAAAGGCCAAUCAAACCGGGAGAUAGCUGGUUCUCCCCGAAAGCUAUUUAGGUAGCGCCUCGUGAAUUCAUCUUCGGGGGUAGAGCACUGUUUCGGCUAGGGGGUCAUCCCGACUUACCAACCCGAUGCAAACUACGAAUACCGAAGAAUGUUAUCACGGGAGACACACGGCGGGUGCUAACGUCCGUCGUG